rnacentral:rRNA from 1 species
UACAGAGGGUGCGAGCGUUAAUCGGAAUUACUGGGCGUAAAGCGCGCGUAGGCGGCUUUGCAAGUCGGGUGUGAAAUCCUCAGGCUUAACCUGGGAACUGCAUUCGAGACUGCAUUGCUAGAGUAUGGGAGAGGGAAGUGGAAUUUCCGGUGUAGCGGUGAAAUGCGUAGAUAUCAGGAGGAACACCGAUGGCGAAGGCAGGUCUCUGGGCCACUACUGACGCUGAGAAGCGAAAGCGUGGGGAGCGAACAGG